UUUCAUUGGGGCAACAGCAUCAAUUUUUGGAGGCUGUUGCAUAAAGCGAGUAUAGUUAAGAGAUAAAGUAAAUAAAAAACGAUAAGUAAGAGAGCGAAUGCAAACAAAUUCUAAUUAAAAAAAUAGUAGAAAAAAAAUUCAGCAGCUGAGACAGUGAAGUGCAAGUGCAUUAAGAAAUAUAUACAUAUAUGUAUGUAUGUAGUAAGUACAUGAGUAUGUUACGCUUUCAAAAAGUAUUACGAAAAGUGACACCAGCGUUGUACAAUAACUCAAACUGCAAAGCUAUGGUUAGCACUUGAAUAGGAGUUAAAAAUACACUUGAAAAAAAAAACUAAUCGCGCUCUAAAAGUUUACAUUCACAACGCGCCAAUAGCCUGCCGGUUUACAUAAUUUAUCAACCGACAUUAUUGCGAAGCCACCAAGUCAAGUCAGUAGGUGAGCCAGCCAGUCAGCCAGUCAGCCCGUCAGCCCGUCAGCCCGUCAGCCCGUCAGCCAAGCCGUUGCAACUCAGCGCCGUCUAACAGCAUCUUUUCAAAAUCAGUGCACAUAUAAAUAAUUCAACUAAAGCUCGCAGAUAUCACAACUCUCUACAUUCUGCAUAGUUAUCAAGUCAAUUCUUUUCUUUUAUUAUUCAGUCAGGUAAGUUUUUAAACAAAACGGUUUUCUGAUGCUUUUCACCUGAAUUUUCUUACAAAAUUUGCAUUUACUUAAACCACAUUAGCAGUGUUCCAUCGUUCACGUGGCAUGAAAUGUUGAAAGCACAGUGACAGUUAUUCUA